GAUGAAGAACGUAGCGAAAUGCGAUAAGUAAUGUGAAUUGCAGAAUUCAGUGAAUCAUCGAAUCUUUGAACGCACAUUUCGCCCCUUGGUAUUCCGAGGGGCAUGCCUGUUCGAGCGUCAUUAUAACCCCUCAAGCUCAGCUUGGUGUUGGGGCCUGCUGCACUGGCAGCCCUUAAAAUCAGUGGCGGCGCCAUCUGGCUCUAAGCGUAGUAAUUCUUCUCGCUAUGGAGUCCUGGUGGAUGCUUGCCAUCAACCCCCAAUUUUUCUAUGGUUGACCUCGGAGCAGGUAGGGAUACCCGCUGAACUUAAGCAUAUCAAUAGCGGAGGA
rnacentral:misc_RNA from 1 species